rnacentral:rRNA from 1 species
AGUGAAUGUGUCUUCUACAACGCGAUGCCUUCCAUUGCUAGGCUCCUCAACAAGAUCAAGGAUGAGAUCCGAUGCAGGGCUAGGGCAGGGGCACAAGGCCCGUGGGUUGUUCUGCACCAAUCCUGGGAUGUCUACUGA